CCCCGCGCCGUGAGACGAGACAAGAUGGCGGCAGUCGGGCCUGGGCCGGGGGAGCGGCAGGCGGGCAGGGGGAGCGGCAGGCUGCCCGGUGUAGCGCAGGGAGCCGGGCCGUAACCCGCGUGUCUUCCCUGCUUUAUUAACCACGGAGCUCGAGGAGCAGCAGGAGAGGCAGCGUGCGCCCUGUUUGCAGCCCUGAAAUGACACCGAGACACUUGAACGCGGGCGGACGGGAGAGGAUGGUGCCCUGAUGCGCUGAAGGGCUGUACCAGCAUCAGUACUACAGAAAGCAGCACGCAGGCAGCAGCAGGAGAGAAAGGGAUUUAUCAUAGCAACACUGAACCAAGACUACGCCUCAGCUCUUUAUAUGGAACUGCUGACAGAGGAAGCUGCAGAACUGAAAGCAGUCUGUCCUUGACUGCAUGAGACCAUGCCUCUCACAGAAGGCAAAUGAUGUCUUACUUCAAAAAUUUUAUGAAAUGCAAACUUAUUGAUUCACUUUUCUUAGAGCUGUUGCACUUGAAUAACUGCGUAAGGUUAAGGUUCCUACUCACUUCAAAUUA